CACAUCUCAGUGUUUUCACCUUUUCUAUCUAUGGAGAACCUUAUAAUUUAGUCUUUUGACAUAGUCAAGGAAUGGCUUGGAUCUAAAAUCCACUCUAGCACCACCUAUAUAUAGAACAAUGCAACUAUUCAUUGGUAAUCUACAGGAAGAAGGGAUCAUCUUUUUCUUUUUGAGGGAUAGGGAUAGUUCAUUAUAUACAUAGAAUAAUGAUUUUAUCAUUGUACCUAAGAAUUCCAAAACAAAAGGAAUACAAACGAU
rnacentral:sRNA from 1 species